rnacentral:rRNA from 1 species
GACGAACGCUGGCGGCGUGCUUAACACAUGCAAGUCGAACGGAAAGGCCCUGCUUUUGUGGGGUGCUCGAGUGGCGAACGGGUGAGUAACACGUGAGUAACCUGCCCUUGACUUUGGGAUAACUUCAGGAAACUGGGGCUAAUACCGGAUAUGAGCUCCUGCUGCAUGGUGGGGGUUGGAAAGUUUCGGCGGUUGGGGCUGGACUCGCGGCUUAUCAGCUUGUUGGUCGGGUAGGGGCUUACCAAGGCUUUGACGGGUAGCCGGCCUGAGAGGGUUAACGGCCACAUUGGGCCUGAGAUACGCCGCAGACUCCUACGGGAGGCAGCAGUGGGGAAUAUUGCAGAAUGGGCGGAAGCCUGAUGCAACAACGCCGCGUGCGGAAUGACGGCCUUCGGGUUGUAAACCGCUUUCGCAUGUGACGAAGCGUGAGUGACGGUAAUGGGUAAAGAAGCACCGGCUAACUACGUG